rnacentral:lncRNA from 1 species
AUGGUGAAAAAAGACUUCCUAAUACAAAUAGUAAGUUUUUCCACCCUGUUACAUGGAAUUGCACAGGUUCCUCUGCUGUCAACAGGAGCAGCAAAAAGCCCCAUUGGAGGCGAAGAACUGAAAUCUUCUCUGGAGGAUUGUCUGAAAGAGAAACAAGAGAGAAUAGGUAGGAAUCAGCGUGAGAUUCACCCUCUGAGCUCCCCACAGUCAUCCAGGCUUGAAUCACUGCAUGCGCAGAAGCAGAUUAAUUGGAAAGCAUUUAUUAAUCCAAUUCCAAGAUGUGACAUUACAUGUGAGGUGCUUGCUCACUUACAUGGUAGGAAAUAAUGCUAGGAGAUGCACUAACCAGGGGGAACGAAAACAGAGUGUAAAUUUACACUGUCACUUCAAGUCUGAGCCUGUUUCUAAAUCCUAAUGUGCCUUUUCUCCAUCUUGUUUAUCAGCACUUUAUCUAAGCCUUGGAACUUUCUUGAGGAUCAAAUGCAAGCAUGCUCCAUGCUUCAUUGUAUCCUGUGAGUCCACUCAGGUGAGUGGAUGAAUGCCCUCAAACAUGUUAUCUUCUAGUCUACCAAUAGCUAUCUCACAGCAUGGUCUUCUCUUUUUUCAGCUCUCCUUUCUUUCCAAAUACAUUCAAUUUCUUUUUAAUUUUUUUUUUUUUUUUUUUUAAAUGAAUCAGGGAGAGCUCAGCUGAACAGUUGUAAAGAUCUUAAUCUAUGUGUGGACUGGGGGGACCUCAUUCUUAGUGAACCUCUCAGGACAUCUGGAUGUAUCACUGCCUUUAUGUGGGCAGUCAGAAUUAUAAGAUGGUUUUGGAGACUUUGGCCAUUAGGCAGAAGGAUACCUGGCUUUCUCUGCAUUAUAAACAUCCCUUUGUGCUGCUAUGGAGAAAGAAUUGGGUUUUUGAUUCUUCGUUGUCUUGUAACAGUACACAGCACAGAACUGCAGUCUCUCCAGCUUCGUUUUCUGUGGUGCAUCUUUCAGCAAGAGUAAUUUUUAGAAAAUUGAGGAUGCAAUUUUACUGCUUUAUGGAAUCACAGAUAUCAUAAAAGAUGGUGUUUCUAACAGCUCUGAUAAGAUUGUUCCAUGGCAGUUACAUCUGCAUUCACCAAGGGAUCUUUGCAGCACCUCAAAAUGCCAGCACUAACUGCUCUGUUCGUGACUUAGGUUGGUAAAAACAGUUAUGCAGAAAUAGUGUAUCAGCCCCAAACAUAUUUCUAGCUAGCUGCUGAGAAAUGCAUGUACAUUAAACCUGUAGUCUGCAGUACAGGAACUGCUCCCUUCCAGCUGGGAAGUGUGCUAGAACCAUGCACAAAUUCCCUCAUAGACAGGAACCAGCUGCAUUUUCCCUAAGCAUAUUACCUCUGAAAACAGGUGAAAUAAAAUGGCAGUCAACAUCUUGCA